CGUGAGAAUCUGCCAAAGGGACUGGGACAACAGCUGGAAACGGCUGCUAAUACCGGAUAUGCCAGAAAGUGAAAUGGGUAAAACCGCCUUUUGAUGAGCUCGCGUCCGAUUAGCUAGUUGGUGGGGUAAAAGCCUACCAAGGCGACGAUCGGUAACUGGUCUGAGAGGAUGACCAGUCACACUGGGACUGAGACACGGCCCAGACUCCUACGGGAGGCAGCAGUGGGGAAUUUUCCGCAAUGGGCGAAAGCCUGACGGAGCAAUACCGCGUGAGGGAGGAAGGCUCUUGGGUUGUAAACCUCUUUUCUCAGGGAAGAACACAAUGACGGUACCUGAGGAAUCAGCAUCGGCUAACUCCGUGCCAGCAGCCGCGGUAAUACGGAGGAUGCAAGCGUUAUCCGGAAUGAUUGGGCGUAAAGCGUCCGCAGGUGGCUUUGCA
rnacentral:rRNA from 1 species